GACGAACGCUGGCGGCGUGCUUAACACAUGCAAGUCGAACGGAAAGGCCCUGCUUUUGUGGGGUGCUCGAGUGGCGAACGGGUGAGUAACACGUGAGUAACCUGCCCUUGACUUUGGGAUAACUUCAGGAAACUGGGGCUAAUACCGGAUAGGAGCUCCUGCUGCAUGGUGGGGGUUGGAAAGUUUCGGCGGUUGGGGAUGGACUCGCGGCUUAUCAGCUUGUUGGUGGGGUAGUGGCUUACCAAGGCUUUGACGGGUAGCCGGCCUGAGAGGGUGACCGGCCAGUGGGGGAGGGGGAUGCGGCCAAGCGGGGGGUGGGGGGGGGGGGGGGGAAAGAGGGGACGGGGGGGGGCAGCGUGACGCAGAAGGGCGGGGUGCGGGAGGAGGGCCGCCGGGUUGGAGCCCGCUUUCGCCUGGGACGGAGGGGGAGGGGCGGGGGGGGGAAAGGAAGCGCCGGCAAUGAGGGGGCCAGCAGCGGGGGUAAUAAGCGGAAGACCGCACGUCUGGGU
rnacentral:rRNA from 1 species